ensembl:snRNA U6 U6 spliceosomal RNA
GUGCUCACUUCGGCAGCAAAUAUGCUAAAAUUGGAAUGAUACGGAGAAGAUUAGCAUGGAUGUGCAUGGAUGACAUGCAAAUUCGUGAAGCAUUCCAUAUUUUU